rnacentral:rRNA from 1 species
UUACGGGAGGCAGCAGUGGGGAAUAUUGGUCAAUGGGGGCAACCCUGAACCAGCCAUGCCGCGUGAAGGAAGACGGUUCUAAGAAUUGUAAACUUCUUUUGUACGGGGGUAAAGACAGAUACGUGUAUUUGUUUGAAAGUACUGUACGAAUAAGCAUCGGCUAACUCCGUGCCAGCAGCCGCGGUAAUACGGAGGAUGCGAGCGUUAUCCGGAUUUAUUGGGUUUAAAGGGUGCGUAGGCGGACUUAUAAGUCAGCGGUGAAAGACUGUCGCUCAACGAUAGCAUUGCCAUUGAUACUGUAGGCCUUGAGUACAUUUGAGGUGGGCGGAAUGUGUAGUGUAGCGGUGAAAUGCUUAGAUAUUACACAGAACACCAAUUGCGAAGGCAGCUCACUAAACUGUAACUGACGCUGAGGCACGAAAGCGUGGGGAUCAAACAGGAUUAGAUACCCCGGUAGG